UGGCGGACGGGUGAGUAACGCGUGGGUAACCUGCCUCAUACAGGGGGAUAACAGUUAGAAAUGACUGCUAAUACCGCAUAAGACCACAGCACCGCAUGGUGCAGGGGCAAAAACUCCGGUGGUAUGAGAUGGACCCGCGUCUGAUUAGGUAGUUGGUGGGGUAACGGCCUACCAAGCCGACGAUCAGUAGCCGACCUGAGAGGGUGACCGGCCACAUUGGGACUGAGACACGGCCCAA
rnacentral:rRNA from 1 species